CAUGCCGGGACGGGACGGGCCGCCCACCGCCGCCUCCCAUUGGGAGAAGGAGCAGCCGGCACAGAGAGUAAAUCCUCCGGCGGCCAGAGAGGACGCGUCGGGAGGGUCGCGCUUUCCGCCUUGUCUCGCCUCCUCCCGCCGUGUUAGCUACGGUGGGAAGGCGAAGGUCGCGCUGAGGUGGCUCUUAUGGCUCCCGCCGCCUCCAUCCUGCGCUUCCCGCCGCGUUCAGUCGUGUCUCCGCCGGCCCCUCCGUUCGUCCCGCGGCCCUCAAUGUCCCCUCAGGGUCUCGGUCCGGCCCCUCGCCGCCCUCCCCGGGCCGCUCCCGCCUCAGCCCCUGCGCGGUGAGCUGCCCUGUCAGCGCCUGCCCGCUGCUCCUCACUCCCUUCAAAGCCCUGCAGGAACCUGCCCCUCACAUAAAAAACUAGUUUUCUCUUAGAAGGGGUGUUUUUUAAAUACCUGAAAGCAGCAGCGGAGCAGACUACCUGAGACCACCCACCUCUGACUGUGCGGCCGGGGGAAGCCGACUGUUGAAGUCUUCCCGGCUGAUGUCCGGCAGCAGAAGGGAGCGGGAGAGGGCAUCUGGAGUCUGAAUUUCCAGAUAAUAAACCAAUUCUUCCCAAGAAACAAUGCCACACCCGUAGUACAGCUCCAGGCUGGAAUCCAAGAGCCGGGCAGGCUGUCUGGGGCAGCGGAGCUUUACGUCAGGACCUGACAGAAAGUGGUUUACCAGAACAUCUGGAUCGGUGCUGGGCUGCUGCGCAUUUUGGCUGGGUCUGAAUCCACCUGGCGUUACUGAAUCAAGUAUUUGAAAAAUGCAAAGGAGGGUUUUCUCAAAGCUUUUCUACUAUUUCCAAGCACUGGCUGGCCUAAUGGAAGAUACUGUCUGCACCGACAGAGACUUCCUUAAAAAAACAGCCAACCUAAAAUGAAUAAAAUCCCAAUGUUUCUCUUCCAUCACAAAAGCAAAACCGGAACAGCCAAGUGAAAGAAGUGCUUGUGUCAGUGAACCCUGAGCAGGAGCGUGGUACGCUGCUGGUCCCUUUUGAGUGGUGUACCCAGCUAAACUCCUCCUGCCCGCCAGGGCGCUGCCUGUACGCCGCGUUUAGGUGAUGGUUUUCCCUCAUCAUGCCGUCUGGUGGAUUUCAGUGAACCCGCCUCGUCACAGCAUGUUUGAGCACAUCAGGGUAGGGAACUCCAGGUGAGAUCCCAUCUGUCCUGGUGUUUCAGAUGACUUACUUGUGAGAAGCAGAAGUACGGGAAUCCCUUCCUAGCAUAAAAUAAAGCAAACCUCAAUAUUGCUCAGUUAUGUUUCUCUGUCUCAUAACUUCCCAAGCAAGACGGGUUCCCUCAUUCCCUCUUCGGUAUUCUCCUUGCGGUAUAAGUUGCUGAAUGUAUUAUGAGAUGAUAUCCACACGGUGAAAAGGGUCUCCUCUUCUAGCAGAGUCACAAAAAGUAUUUGUUUUCACUACUUCACAGGCAAUGAAAGACCUGGCAAAAUAAAAGUAUUUAGAAUAUAUAUAAAUUUCAUAUCAGUAUAGAUUUAAGUCUGCUUUAGUAAAAUUGGUGCAGAUAAUCAAUAUUUAUGUCAGUAACUAAGAGCAGACCCUGGCUCUAAGCAUUAGAAUUCCGGGCUGGCAUAACAUCAGGCUCAUUUGGCAUCCGCCAUAUAAACUGACAAUUAGAGGGCAGUAGAGAAAGCUGAAAGAAAAAAGACAGAAAUGCCAGUUGGACCCGUUACUGGUGAUUCACAUAAAGGAAGCUUCUUGAGCCUCGAGUCAGAUUAGUCUUCAUUAGUUCAUCUGUUGUAAAAAUACAUUGAAAGGGAUAACAGCUAUCCCUUUGGUGGUGCAGCCCCCCGGGCCACUCUGGGACCCCAAGACAAGCCCUAUCAUGCCGUUAUCUGGGUCAUAAUGACUUGGGUGCCAGGCAAUCUCUGUCCACCCCUGGGCCAUCUGCUCCCUGACUUCUGUCCCAGAAUUGUGGCCAGAAUGCCAAAUAUCAACCAAAGCCAACUAUCUCGAUCCUAUAACUAGCGAUGCAAGAGGGAGAACCUUUGAGCUCUCCGGGACUGCAGCGGGCUGUGUGACCCUGCAUCUCCCCCGGGGCUGGGACGCCUCUCGGGGGAGAUUUUGUGAGGACUGAAGGGUCGUCUGCUGACGAUUUUGUGAGGACUCAAAGGCCUGAUUUUGCAAGGUUCACCGGCCGUGCGCUGAUGAAUGCCAGCACACAAAAAUCCCGAAUGCCUCCCGACGGAGCGUAAAGCAUGUCGACGUAGCGGGGACGUCACUUCUGUGUGCGGUUUGUGGAAGCUUACAUCAUUAAAUAUGUCACUGGAAUGUAUUCGAUUGAUUUAGAUCAAUUUCAGAUGUUUUUCUUUCCUGGGCUGGCAGCCAGCAGACCGUAGCGUACAAAGCAGCCUCAGUGGCAGGCGGAGGGGCUCGGGGCCGAUGGCCGGCUGCGGGACAGGGCAGCCACGAUACCUGACUCGCAGUCCGAACCCGAACGGGGCAAGAGGGGAAGGCUGUCACCCGCACCAACCGUGUGCGCACGUCACACAAGCUGCCAGAACUUGUAGGAGGUUUGUGGAUAGUCUGGAUGGAUAAAAUAGGGCUGAGCUUCCAUCCAGCGCCCAGGCACAGCCCUUCGCCCUUCCGAGGUGGGCUCGCGGGCCCGAACUCUUGGAUCUGCGAACAGCACAAGCACAGGCGCCAUGAGGAAGGGCAGGGAGUGACUGAGCCUCAAUCCUCAGUCUUUUAGGACUUGUAUCAUUUGGGAUUACAGAGUUCAAAGUUACCCACCGGGUACCGCUGCUGCUUCCAGUCAUGGUGGGAGCCAUUUCACAGAAUCCCAUCUAUACACUUAUGCCGAUUCAUCAUUAAAGCUGGCUGUUUUCAUCGUCCCAGCUCUCUUUAGCAGCCUUUCCAAAGCCUGACUGCUCCAAUUGCUCCAGGAUCCCUCUAAUUUCUGAAUUAAUUUAUUAGUGACCAGUUUGACCAUUUGUUCUUGUCAGCUGUUCUUUAGUUUAAGUACUUAUUCCCAUCCCCACUGUGCUUCAGUGACUGUAUCCCUUCUUGUAUUCUCUCGACUCAUACGAGGGCACUUUCCAUCUGUAACACCGACCGCCCCUUCCCCUGACCAUCACAGAGUCCCUUCGGGGGGUCUCCUCAAUGCUUUGAACGUGCAUGACAAGAAUUAGGCGUAGUAUUAUUCCACAUACAAAUGGCACUAACACUUUCCUGUCUCAGCUGGAGACACCUCAUGCAUCUUAAGGCACUUUUAUCUUCAUCUUUGCGCCAUACUUUCCACCCGCAGCCAUCCUCUGAUCAGCCAGCUUACAUGCAAGCCCUCUACCAUUACCUCCUGGUGAUGAGCUUCCAGUUUCUAACAGAAUUUUUUGCUCGCAGUUCAUGUGUGCAUGACCUCCGUCUUUGUAUCAUUGAAUUUCAGGCCAGUCUCACUACUCCAGUCCAUGGGAUCAUGCGGUUUUGCAUUGAUAAUGCCUCCUAAUUUCAUGUCAUAUCAAAAAACUUAAUCACAAUUUAAAAAUUUCUCUUCUAAAGCCUUGCGUUCAGUGAAGGGAUGUACACUUGCAUGUAGGAUUGAUCACAUUUCUUCCUUUAACACAGCCACUGUUUCAUAUUUUCAAAUCAUAUGACACCAUUCUUACCUUAUCAAUAUGUUAAAAAUUCUGUCUGCUGGACUUGCAGGUCAGUUCAGUGCCUCCAGAUUCGGUGGGGAGGCUGACACCGUAGCUACAACCUGUCUGAACAAAGCCUCCCGCCUUUUGCUGCCACGUGUCACAGACCAACACACUGAGAAGCCUCUUACAUGUUUAAAAACCGUCCAUGCGGGCAGGGUGCCCCGAGGCUCUAACUUCCAAUGUUAGGAAGCAUAUGCAAAACCAUGAACUAGCCUUAAUUAUACAGUUACAAUGUAUGCAUAAUGCGCAAUAUCCAGGAGCAAAUAAUUCACUCACGCGUUUGUUGCUAUAGCGCCCAUCACUUUCCAAUGUGGUUUUUCUUGUAUCUGUCUUCCCUCCUUUUUUCUCUUUGCUUUUGUUAUGUUUCUUUGGGAAAUUUUCAGUUGGUUGUUUAGGGUUUUAUUUGGUCGGCAAUUACCCAGCUCUGAUAUUUCAGUAGCUGUGAUGCCUUAAUUUGUAAACAGAAGAAAUCUAAUUACCUUUCAAGCUUGAUGGAAAACUAUGGAGACCAGAAUAAGAGGGAAAAUUAUCUUUUCAACAUUUAUUUCACUGCAAAUGACUGAGAUAACUGCACGGGUGAAAACGGCUCCCGAGUAACCUUCUGUAGCACAGAGAGGUAGGAUUUUCUGAGAACUGUAUUAUAUGGGGUAUGAUUCAUACCAGAGUUUGGGGCAACACGAUACCCCAGCGACCCUCAGCUGAGGAGAUUGCAAAGCCCAUUUGUAUUUGAAUAUCCCAGAAUAGCACUAUGAACCACACAUUAGGUGACAUGCAAUGACUAUUUACAGCAGCCCAAAGAAUAGCCUGUGACAGAUACCGGCUAGGCCUUAUUUUAAGCCCAUAUUCAUUUUCACGUUUGGCCGGCAUUAAUGAAUUGCAAGACAUGCCACUGUAAACAGAGUCUGAAGAUACUGGGCGUACACUGCGAUGCACCGCAGCGGCAGAUUUGCAGUAUGUAAGCACUUCCACAGAAAUCAUACAUCUAUGUCGCAUACAGAUAAUAGAAAAAGGAGGGUGCUUAAUCUGCCAGGCAAGGAUUUCUCUCUGAAGCUCCCCAGAGGAGUAAGUUUUGGGAAAGUCUGGAGGCUGCAGACUGAGAUCAGGACUGACUAAGGCUCAGAUCAAGUAAACCACUGAAUGAAAGCACGAUGAGGAUACUCUGAAGAAUUGACCAAAGCACCCAUAGCAUAAAAAUUAACAGCGAUGCAUCAGUCUUUUUCCCUCUUGUUUUUUAAUACCCAUGGUUUUUGAGGAUUAGAUACUUCUAAUGCCUGCCAUGCUACAGAGGACCCAUUUGCAGCUCAGAGCAGUGAAAUGGUAUCAAGUGUAUCAACAGCAAAUCAUUCCUUCUUUAAAAAGUAGCCACAAAUUUUAGGCCAUGUUAUCAUCACAUUUUGAAUACAUUCUCUGACUCGUGUUUCCUUAUAUAUAGCAGCAGCUGAUCAGAUGUAUAACUGAAUUGUGAAAGUCUUGAGCAUAUGAUGCGAUUAUGAAAUUUUAAUGCUUUUGCUUAUUGUUUACAUCAUCUUCGAAAGUUGAAGAAUUUCUGAGGCAUUUUGUUCUUCAAAUAGUUGCCAUCUAUUUUAAGAGACAAGCUGCAUCUUCAACAGCCCUUUUUUGAUGAUUCUUCUGGGUUUUUCUCCUUAAUUUAAAAUAAAAUUACUGAUUAUUGUGAUACCAAAAGAGAACAAAAGGUAUUCAGCUAUUUAUCACUUUACUGACAGGCAAAUAAGUAGCAACAUACACAAUACAUCCCAAAUGACAAACACAGUAUGUACAAAUAAGGGACGUUUAUGUCUGAUAGGGAGUCACAGGUUAUAUGCAUUUAAGUGCAUAAGAAAAAGACAAGUUACUUGCUCAGAAGAAGACAAAGUCUGCCUUGGUCUAAGAAAUGAAAUUACUUCCUUAAAUGACUGUGGCAAGGUGCUAUGCUACCUCAGAGUUGAAUUUUGCCUCGAUAUUUCUUAAUGUACUGAGACGUUUCUUCUAGUCACGCAUCUCUGUUAAAAGCAAAGGUAUCCGUGCUGUAAACCUGGUUCCAAAAUGUGCUAGAAAGCUUGCAAAAGCAACGAUAAAUAUGCACAUCUCUCCCCAUGAUUUCCUGCAUGUCAGACUGAUUUAUUCUUGAUUUUCAUGGUCCAGGUCUUCUGGAAUAAUUAGAUCCCAUGACAGAGUUCUAAAAAUAUAAUAGACACCUCUAUUAAUUAGAAGCUGAAAACCACUGAACUGAAAAUUCGCAAGUUCUUGGCAAUUCCAGACCAGCAGUAACUCAGGGUCAAAAGCUAACAGAGAGUUUAUCACAGAAUGGCUUAAACAAUGUAAUGACUUCAGCACCGAGCCGAGCAGAGGACGUAUCUAUGGGACACCACGAAACAAACCCCAGCUUUGAAGUUAAUCGGAACAAAUCUGCACGCUCCGGGCGCGCUUCCUCAGCAUCCGCAGAGAAUCGCAGCAAGGUUUUCUGCCUCUGCGUCGGAUCUAAGAGUCUGCAUUUGCUUGCCAGGCGAGGCAGGGUGGAGCAGCAGAGCCAGUGGGGCAUCUGAUGGGGCGACAGCAGGACAGGCAUGUCCGUCCGCAUCCUCCCGCGGAUCGGGUCAAACUCUCCCCCCGCCGAGCGCUACAGUACCGUGGGUGGAGGGCAUCAAACCCAUACCACCGGGGAUAUAAAAGGUAACUCAACUUGUGUCUGUUCUUUCUUUAGUGCCUUACCAUUGUACUGGGGAACGGACAGAAAUGCAGCCGAAGAAUCUGCUUUCAGAUCAGGCUGCCCAUUAUUCCAGACAUUCUUUUUCCUCCCACUCUUUGUUUCUCCUUUUUUUUCCUCUCACUUUUCACAUUUCCUUCCGUCUCUAUGCAUUUUACUCACCACAUUGUCUUCAUUUCCCAGUUUAUUCUGCAUGCUAACAUAAGCCAUAAAGAAAUUAAGACCUACCUUUUGAGCACCAUUUGUCUUUAGAUUGCUCCUCUGAGGGCAACUGUCACUCUCCAACAGCAAUUGUUUCAGGCUGUUACAAAUUUAGCAGACAACAAACAUGGGUUUAUUCUGAACUCCCAUCUGGAAAGAUCUUUGCCACGCUGAAGGCUAGAAAUGUUGACCAAGGUCUGAUCUCAGUGGGCGUAUCCAUAUUGGAAAUUGGGUUCAGAUGAGACAAAGAUGCUUCUGUUAUUCCAAUUCCUUCCCAAACGCAAAGCUUGUCUACUCCGCAUAGCUGGUGGGACACACAACCUCGAUCCCCCAUGGGGACGGGGAACAAUACGGGCACAGAAGAACGAACAUUGCAUGCAGUGCUCCCCGCUUCCCAAAACCAUCCCUGCGCACGGCUUCUUUCAAGCUCAGGGCAGGAAGCUGCUCUACCGUACUGACACCCCAAGAAGGGGACACUCACCAAAUUAAGUACAAACGCCUUGGUACUGGGUGGCAUGCGCAGUUUUCUGGAGGAUUCUCCAUGCCCGUAGCAAUCAUUGAGGUUUUAUAACAUGUUGAAAGUGAAAAAUCUGUGGCAAAACGAACAGUCAGUCUGGAUUCAAAGAGGAUUCAUCAGAAGUUACAGGAGGGGGCAAAAUAUCAAAAAAGCAUAUAUAAAAUAAAAUUAAAAACCAUAUAUAAAAUCAGAUAGUUAUCAUGCCUUCAAAAGUCAAGUGCCGUCAAACUCAUAGGUAAAAUCCAGUACGUUGAGUUACCCCAACUGGUACUUUGCUGCUUCAUUUUACAGUGACUCUACUGCAAAUCAGUCUUCACCAGGGAAGAAAUGGGAAAGCCUUAUUAAGGAAUAUAUAUUACAGGAGCUCAGGAUAAGCUACGUGUCUUUCAGCUGUCAUAAAAUCCUAAUUAUUUCUCUAGAAAUAUUUAUUACAGGCUUUCUAUGUUUUGUAUGCUAGAAGUCUCACUUUUUACAAGAGGAGCAUUCAGAAAAUACAGGAGAGUGGGAGAAUCAUGGAAUCUGUUCCACUUCAGACGACUGCAUAAGGACACCCCAGGUUUUGCAUUGAUUUCUUUAUUUUUCAGCAUGCGCUGAUCAGACCGGUCUGUUUGGGUUGGCGGGGUCCCUCUCUCCCACCUCCCUCCCGUCCCCACGGGCAGCAUCCCCGGCGAGGUUCCAGGACCGUGUCCUAGCCCAGGGUCAGCAGUCACACGUGGCAGGCAGCCGGUGGGAGCCCGUCAGGGCUGGCAGGAUCCCUCCUUUUGAAAAUGAAAGUGGGGACAAAUAGAAAAAGAGGAAACUGGGUGACGUUCUUUCCCUCUGUUCAUUGUGCUGCGGGCACAUCUUGUAUGAUAUUCUCCACGCGGAGCAGCAGGCUGCUUUCGUUCCUUAGCACCUCGCUGUACGCUCAAGGACGUCCGAGGUGAAACACUUCAUUAUUAUUCUGUCGUUAGCACCGUGAUGCAAUUCCCAGCCCACCGACAGCUGCCAGAGCGGCGUCACUCAGCACGCUGCCAGGAAUCGCAAACACGCGGGGCUGGGGCUACUCCACAGCCUUUGGGGCGAGAGCCCUUCCUGCUUUAAAUAUUGAAUUUCUCUGCCAUGUGUUUUCUGUGUCGUUAAAACAAGGAGCAGUGAUGUAAAUAUAGGGCUGGGAAUUUGGAAACGUACUGUUUAUAACACAUUACAUCGCUGUGUUUUAGGCACGUUUCAUCUCUGAAUUAAAAGC